rnacentral:lncRNA from 1 species
CACGCAUGGAACAGGCUUUCCUCUGUGGCCAGGUGAGAAGCAGGUGGUGAGACACAGAGCAGUGCUGGGCUCUGCUUCUGAAGCCUCCAACCUUUCCUUCCCUAGGAAGCCCCAGAGAGAUUGGUGAGGGUGAUUUCCCAGGAAGACGCAGUGUGCUCUGACUUCUGUGACAGUGAGCAACGGGACCAGUGGAUGUCCAGAUGCUGGCAAUGAGACAUGCUCUGGAGUCAGAAGACAGCGAAAAGAGAAGCAGAAGCCCCGGUGGCAAGAGUCUGAAGCAGGAAGGAUGACUGUAGCCUGUGGAUUGUACUGCAGUAGGAAACUGUCCUAGCAAGGCUCCACUUUGCCCCAGCUUCAAGCUGGAAAGGAGGAGAACAUGAAACAUUGCUUGAAGACAAUGGCCGAGACAGCAGGUCCCACCCUGCACAGCCACCAGCAUCUCUCCCCUCAGCCCUGUCUCCUCUUCUGCAGUUGGGAUCUGCACAUUUAAGCCUGAAAUUGUCCUGUGAAGUGAAGUAUGAUCGGACAGCCUCUUUUCAGCUUUUAUGACAAUGGAGACAGAGGAAUUGUGGCUCUUGCCAAGGUCACAGGAUUGGAAUACAGAGCCAAGCCACCCCAGGACAUGCAAGAGCCUCAGAAGGGAAAAAAGCCCAGCAGGAAGGGAGAACAAGUAGCCUCUGUCCUGAAGUUGUAACAGCCAGGGGCCAGGAUGGAGGAGGAGGACCCCAUAAUCUGCCCAUCUGGGACUUGGCAGGGGACCUGGGAAAAUGUACCCCAACCCAUCCCUUAAGGGCCUUUGUCUUUGGCCCAUUGGCCUAGCAUCUACUUCUUCACCGUGUCUGUUCUUGUCACACCUAGUCAGGUCUGUUUGGGUCUGAGGUGCAUGGAACAUUCUGGGUAGGCCUCCAGCAAACGGAAGCUCUUCACCGUGUUUCCAGCCUGGGACCAAGGGCAGCAUACUGGCAAAGUUGCCAAAGCAAGGGACUCCAGCCUCUUAGGAGUUAAUGACUCCCUCUCCCCAGCUGUCCUCCCCUUGGUGCUCCUCUUCCUCCCUCCUCCUGCUCACAGCAGGCAGGGCCUAGACCCGGGAGCCAUGCUGCUGUGCUGUUGCCAGGGGAGCACGGAGGCAGAUCUGAGCUAUGCAGGGAAAAGGCCCAGCCUGUCAAAGUGUCUGAGAUGAACCGCCGCCGUCCCUGUGCAGCUGGGCUCAGACGUGUCUCAGCUCUUGUUCUGUGCCUGAGAAUGGCGAAACCCAGUGAGGUUCAAGGGCAAACUCGCUAUUCAUUAGUCAGGGGUUCUUGACGUCCCGUCUCUCCCAGGGAUGAGUUCCCCCCUCCUCUUUCUCCCCCUCCUAUGACACAUUCCUGGGUGCCUUUGGUGAGGACUGCACACCCUCCUCCUGCCUAGCCCCCUCUCCAAAGGCCCCUGAAUAAACUCCCCCCAAGGAGACCAGGCAGGGCAGAGACAAUGGCUGCAGGAAAUCAUUCAGGCGGGACAUGCUGGCCUGCCCUCCACCCAGUCCCCCUGUGGGCCCCACUCCCUUCUGAUUCAGGGCACCCUUGGGCCCCCAGCCUAUACAGGCCUGGACAGGAAGAAACCACUGGGAACCACCCUAAGGACAACAUGCUAGUCCAGUGCCAUUCUUCGCUGGCUCUGUGGGUGCCUUUGUGGCCUGUACCGACUGGCUGGCUAAUUUUGUGGUUUCUGUACCAUCACAUGCCUAUUUUAAGACACUCUCCAGCACUGUCGGUUAGGGAGUGUAAAUUUUGCAAUAUUUUCUGAAAUGUGGCAAUAUCAAAAUGUAAAAGGCACACAUACUUGGUCACAAACAAAUGGCACUAUUUACUCUGUGGGCAUAUUUGUAAAAGUUGCCAAAGAAUUAUAUACAAGGAUGUUCAUCAGAGCAUUUCUUUUGAAGAGUAAAGAAAUGGACAUGAACCUGUGGUCCGUUCAUACGGUGGAAUACCUAUGCAGCUGUAAAAAUCAGUGUGGUAGAUCUCCGUAUAUGAGUUGAUGUGGAAGGUUGGCCAGUUCACAUGAUAAGGUGAAUAGAAUAAGUUACAGAACAGGCUGUAGAGUAUGAUCUUAUUUGUAGAUGUUUAAAACUGAGUCAUAAGUAUGCUUAUAUACAGAUCGUUUCUGGAAGUAUGUACUGGAAGUCUACCUCUGGGGAGUGGGGAUGGGGGAGUGCACUCUUCUAUACUGUUAUAUUUUCUUUUCAUGCUCCUAAGGUACUUUUAUUGGAAGAUGUAAAGCGGUUCAAUGUAAUAGGCUUAACUUCUGUCAACUAAGUUGGCGUGGGUGCUUUAAGAGGGUGGUAGUGAUGUUGCUGGAGAAAGUAUCCCACAGUCACUGGUGGCUUCAGCCACGGGCCAUUUUGGGGCCUAAUAAUCACAUAUCAUCAUGGUUGCUAGUGUUAAUCGAAAACCUACUAAGUGCCAGGCUUACUGUCUCUGGGUCUUGCUUACGUGGAUGUCAUUUUUCCAGUUGCACCAAAUCGAAAGAGGUUAAUUGGUUUGUUGGAGUUCCUUUGUAGGUGAAGGGCAGAGCCAGGAGCUUGGCUAGGGACAGGGGAGGUGAGUGGGGGAUGGUGGAUAGGUCUUGGCUCCCAGUUUCCUUCUGGGCAGACAUUGCCCCUCUGCCCUGAGGACCUGCUUGUUUGGGGGAAGAGGCCUUUAGAGGCACCAGGGUCAUGCCAGGUGUUGGACAUGGUGAACUGGGAAGUGCUCCCAUCUGGCCACAGCGCAGAAGUAUCACCGUGCUGGGGGAUGGGGAACAGGGCUGUGAAUGGGCCUAUUUGCAUAAGCAGCAUGUGUCUGGAGAGAAAGACAUCACAGAGCAGAAGAGUGCGGGUGCCCAGGAGUGCACUUGCCACCCCUACUUCAUCCCUGAAAGAGUAAAUGGCCUGGAAGGUGUCUCUGAGAGGUAAUGCCGCACACCACCCUCCCUGGGGGCAGGGUCAGGCUACACCUGCCUUAGGUCGGGGGCUGCAGCAGCCUGAGAGCUCUCAGUAGGGCCUCAGUAGCCUGGGAGGGAGCAGGGGCAGGGGGCAGGGAAAGAGGCGUAAUGGGGCUGUCCAGAGGGGCCUGGGAAACCUGGUCCCUGAGGCCUGGGCACAGCUACAAUCACUUCAAAUUGGCUGUGGGGCCAGUGGACUGGGAAGGAAAAAAGCAAUAAGAGUGACCAAGUGCAGAAGGCUGUCAGGUCCCAGGUCACAUGCCUUAGUGCAGUGACUCCUCAUCAUUUUAUGGGGUGUGGGUGUCGUUGGUACACCCAUUUUACAGAUGAGGACACCGAGGCCCAGAAAAGUUAAGUUACAUGUCCUAAGUCACACAGCUUGUAAGUGCCAGAACUGAGAUCAAAACCAAGUCUCUUUGACUUUAAAGUCUGUACUCUGACCCCAAAGAGAUCCUGUUUGGCCACUUAUAGGAGGUCCCUAAAGCUGCAGACUCCCCUUGCCGGCACCCACAUAUAGAGACAUUAACCCUUCCCCUGCAGGGUCACCUCAAAUAGUCUUUUAGCUGGGCUUCUCCUGCAAUUCCACCUAAUGCCAUCCCCUGGGUUUUGCCCAAACCUGAACUGGGCAGUGGGGUGAGAGGAGGGGUUUACAGGGUUACAGAGCCUCAUACAGAUAGGAGCCCAUGGCUGCUGGUCAUCUGCAUUCCUGCAGGAUUGGCUGUUCCUUGGGGUCCUUGGCAGGAAAAUGAGGAUUGCUCCGAGGCCUGCUCCAGUACUUCCCAGAGGCUGGCCUGGUGUGGGGCUCUGGGAAGGCUGAGGCUGGAGAAGCGUAAGUAGGAGGGCAGAGAUGGCACUCAGGUAGCUUGAAUCACCAGGACCCUUCCAAGCCCCACAGGUUCUGAGGGAGUACUAGGGCCAGCUCUGGGAGAGGUCUCUUCCUAUGCUGUGAACCCCCUGCCUUUCU